GCUCAGGACGAACGCUGGCGGCGUGCCUAAUACAUGCAAGUCGAACGCUUCUUUUCCCACCGGAGCUUGCUCCACCGGGAAAAGAGGAGUGGCGAACGGGUGAGUAACACGUGGGUAACCUGCCCAUCAGAAGGGGAUAACACUUGGAAACAGGUGCUAAUACCGUAUAACAAUCGAAACCGCAUGGUUUCGUUUUGAAAGGCGCUUUACGGUGCCGCUGAUGGAUGGACCCGCGGUGCAUUAGCUAGUUGGUGAGGUAACGGCUCACCAAGGCCACGAUGCAUAGCCGACCUGAGAGGGUGAUCGGCCACAUUGGGACUGAGACACGGCCCAAACUCCUACGGGAGGCAGCAGUAGGGAAUCUUCGGCAAUGGACGAAAGUCUGACCGAGCAACGCCGCGUGAGUGAAGAAGGUUUUCGGAUCGUAAAACUCUGUUGUUAGAGAAGAACAAGGGUGAGAGUAACUGUUCACCCCUUGACGGUAUCUAACCAGAAAGCCACGGCUAACUACGUGCCAGCAGCCGCGGUAAUACGUAGGUGGCAAGCGUUGUCCGGAUUUAUUGGGCGUAAAGCGAGCGCAGGCGGUUUCUUAAGUCUGAUGUGAAAGCCCCCGGCUCAACCGGGGAGGGUCAUUGGAAACUGGGAGACUUGAGUGCAGAAGAGGAGAGUGGAAUUCCAUGUGUAGCGGUGAAAUGCGUAGAUAUAUGGAGGAACACCAGUGGCGAAGGCGGCUCUCUGGUCUGUAACUGACGCUGAGGCUCGAAAGCGUGGGGAGCAAACAGGAUUAGAUAC
rnacentral:rRNA from 1 species